AGCCGCUGCCGUAGCCAUGACGCGGUAACCAGCGUGAGCUCGCCCGCCAGAAGAAUAUGAAAAAGCAGAGCGACUCGGUUGAGGGAAAGCGCCGAGAUGACGGGCUUUCUGCUGCCGCCCGCAAGCAGAGGGACUCGGAGAUCAUGCAGCAGAAGCAGAAAAAGGCAAACGAGAAGAAGGAGGAACCCAAGUAACUUUGUGGCUUCGUGUCCAACCCUCUUGCCCUUCGCCUGUGUGCCUGGAGCCAGUCCCACCACGCUCGCGUUUCCUCCUGUAGUGCUCACAGGUCCCAGCACCGAUGGCAUUCCCUUUGCCCUGAGUCUGCAGUG